rnacentral:rRNA from 1 species
CAGCAGCCGCGGGAAUACGUAGGUGGCAAGCGUUGUCCGGAAUUAUUGGGCGUAAAGGGCUCGCAGGCGGUUUCUUAAGUCUGAUGUGAAAGCCCCCGGCUCAACUGGGGAGGGUCAUUGGAAACUGGGAAACUUGAGUGCCGAAGAGGAGAGUGGAAUUCCACGUGUAGCGGUGAAAUGCGUAGAGAUGUGGAGGAACACCAGUGGCGAAGGCGACUCUCUGGUCUGUAACUGACGCUGAGGAGCGAAAGCGUGGGGAGCGAACAGGAUUAGAUACCCCUGUAGUCCCUGUCUCUUAUAC